AACAGACUUGCAACCAUUGAGA
rnacentral:snRNA from 1 species